ACAGCAGCCGCCGCGGGAAUACGUAUGUCACAAGCGUUAUCCGGAUUUAUUGGGCGUAAAGCGCGUCUAGGUGGUUAUGUAAGUCUGAUGUGAAAAUGCAGGGCUCAACUCUGUAUUGCGUUGGAAACUGUGUAACUAGAGUACUGGAGAGGUAAGCGGAACUACAAGUGUAGAGGUGAAAUUCGUAGAUAUUUGUAGGAAUGCCGAUGGGGAAGCCAGCUUACUGGACAGAUACUGACGCUGAAGCGCGAAAGCGUGGGUAGCAAACAGGAUUAGAUACCCGGGUAGUCCCUGUCUCUUAUACA
rnacentral:rRNA from 1 species